UUCGUUUGUCUUUUUUUUUGGAGGCUCUCUCAUAACAAAAACACAGCGUGGCACCACACGUGGCAGUUGGCACCUGGUGCCAAAAGUGGCAAAAAGCAUUCGAGCUGUGUCAGUGUGCAUACCGUUUCUUUUCAAGUCAUCCUAUUGAGGUCGAGUUACAAGAGAAGAAGAAAUGAAAGGCGGUCUUUAACCAUUUAUCAUUUAAAGAAUGGCGUGAUACGAAAUACGAAUCAAGAGCCCCAGCACAGCGCGGGAAAAGUCACUCACCGUUUAUAGUGAUUGCAUAUGCCGCGCGGGCAGUGAUGGCCGAGGAGGCAGCGGCCCUCGCACGUCUGGCCGGCCAGUAGCGAGACGCGGAACAUCAUUAUCAGCCGCUCCAGGCAGCAGCGUUGGUUCCUACCU